GCAGGCUGAAUCGCUUCUGGGUGGGGCCACAGGAGCAGGGUUGAUGAUGCAGACAGAUAUUAAGUGGCACACUCUUUAAAAUUACUAUGCUAUUAAUGAAUCCGGGCAAGGAGCAAAAGAGGCGUUGGCACCAAAAUCACAGAUCUUUCCAUCCAGGGCAGACAGGAAGUAUCUGGAGUAUGUGUGCCAUCAAAAUGAAGAAGUACAACAAAAAAGAAGGAUGCACAAGAUAAAAAAUAAAUCUGGCCAACCACAGGAAAAAGAGAAAGACAGAGAAAGAGGAAGAAAGAGAGGAAGGGAGGAAAGAAGGAAAGGUGGACAUUACUGUAUGCUGUUGUAGACUUUAUAAACACUGUACACUUAGGAUGUACUAAAUUUAUAUUUUUUCUUUCUUCAGUAAUAAAU
rnacentral:lncRNA from 1 species